rnacentral:rRNA from 1 species
GACGAACGCUGGCGGCGUGCCUAAUACAUGCAAGUAGAACGCUGAAGAGAGGAGCUUGCUCUUCUUGGAUGAGUUGCGAACGGGUGAGUAACGCGUAGGUAACCUGCCUGGUAGCGGGGGAUAACUAUUGGAAACGAUAGCUAAUACCGCAUAAAAUGGAUUAUCGCAUGAUAAUCCAUUGAAAGGUGCAAAUGCAUCACUACCAGAUGGACCUGCGUUGUAUUAGCUAGUUGGUGGUGUAACGGCUCAUCAAGGCGAGGAUACAUAGCCGACCUGAGAGGGUGAUCGGCCACACUGGGACGGUGACACGGCCCAGACUCCUACGGGAGGCAGCAGUAGGGAAUCUUCGGCAAUGGGCGGAAGUCUGACCGAGCAACGCCGCGUGAGGGAAGAAGGUUUUCGGAUCGUAAAGCUCUGUUGUAAGGGAAGAACGAGUGUGAGAGUGGAAAGUUCACACUGUGACGGUAUCUUACCAGAAAGGGACGGCUAACUACGUG